AGAGUUUGAUCCUGGCUCAGAUUGAACGCUGGCGGCAUGCCUUACACAUGCAAGUCGAACGGCAGCACGGGAGCAAUCCUGGUGGCGAGUGGCGAACGGGUGAGUAAUAUAUCGGAACGUAUCCAAUAAUGGGGGAUAACUAAUCGAAAGGUUGGCUAAUACCGCAUACGCCCUGAGGGGGAAAGCUGGGGAUCUUCGGACCUAGCGUUAAUGGAGCGGCCGAUAUCUGAUUAGCUAGUUGGUGGGGUAAUAGCCUACCAAGGCGACGAUCAGUAGCUGGUCUGAGAGGACGAUCAGCCACACUGGAACUGAGAGACGGUCCAGACUCCUACGGGAGGCAGCAGUGAGGAAUUUUCUGCAAUGGGCGAAAGCCUGACAGAGCAAUACCGCGUGAGGGAUGAAAGCCUAUGGGUUGUAAACCUCUUUUCUCAAGGAGGAAGAUAUGACGUUACUUGAGGAAUAAGCAUCGGCUAACCCUGUGCCAGCAGCCGCGGUAAUACAGGGGAUGCAAGUGUUAUCCGGAUUUAUUGGGCGUAAAGCGUCUGCAGGUUGAUAUUUAAGUCUUUUGUUAAACCUUCGGGCUUAACCUGAAUUCUGCAAAAGAAACUAUUUAUCUUGAGUAUGGUAGAGGUAAAGGGAAUUUCCAGUGGAGCGGUGAAAUGCGUAGAGAUUGGAAAGAACACCAACAGCGAAGGCACUUUACUGGGCCAUUACUGACACUGAGAGACGAAAGCUAGGGGAGCAAACGGGAUUAGAUACCCCGGUAGUCCUAGCUGUAAACGAUGGAUACUAGAUGUUGUGCAUUUUUUGAGUGUGCAGUGUCGUAGCUAACGCGUUAAGUAUCCCGCCUGGGAAGUAUGCUCGCAAGAGUG
rnacentral:rRNA from 1 species